AUCUGGAUGGUGCAGUGGUUAGCGCACCUGCCUAGUAAGCAAGAGACCUGGGUUCGAAUCCUAGUCCAGCACA